rnacentral:tRNA from 1 species
AGUUUAGAUGGUAAAAAUAUUCCCCUGUCACGGGAAAGACCACGGGUUCGAGUCCCCUA